GCUUGAGAAAGGCAAUGAGAAGUAUUUAUUAAGAGCAGGUAUGCAUGAGCACUCACAAGUUCUGUUUAAAUUAAAAUGUAAAAUCAUAUGUGAAAGUUAAGAAUGCAGGAUGUCAGUUACCCACAGUAGCUUGGGUAAAGAGGGAAGGCCAUUGCAGGAAGACCCUAGAGAUAAAAUACAGUACCUGAAUUUGCACAAUACUUCUGGGGCAAAAGUUUAGUGGCUUUAAUAUAAUAUUUAAAAUUGAGAAGGCUAUUUUCAUUGACUACUGUAACCUCUGAUGUCUUGCUAACGCAACUCUUUCACAUGCCUGGAUAUGCUCUGAUUGCCUAUUAUAUUAGACCAACUGCAGCUGCUCAGUAAUGAUUAUUUAACUGCAUUUUUCUGACAUUCUGGGUAUACAUUGUCAGAGCAUCCUUUUACAAAUUGAUUUCACAGUGUUAAUCCGCAGGAAUUGACUGAGUAUAUAUGCAUCUGGGCUAAUCUGAGGACUGAAUAUAUUAAUAUCUACAUUAUAAGCACAUAACAUGGAAAUCCAGAACUGUACAUCAUAAAUUAGAGAAGAUUAAAUAUCCUUAACUUACCAAAAAACUUUACCCAAGACUCAAUUCUUUAGACAUCAAUCUCCUCUUCUGGUUUUAGCAUGAUUCAGUUUAUGUUAUUACCAAAUUUUCUGAUUACAGAAGUUGUAUGACUUGAGGGGUAUAUUUAUAAACCCCUGUAAACGCUAUAGUCUGUUCUAAGUAACAAUAGUUAAAGCAUAGAGAAAAGCUACAGAAUUCCUCAGAGAACUAAAUCUCUGUUUAACCAACCGCCUUAUCUUUUUAUGGGCUGAGAAACAGGAUUUUGGCGGUCUUUUUUUUUUAUGUCCCCAUUCUCUGAUAAUGAAACUAUUGAGAAAUGAAAUUGCCCAGGGAAGGAGGAAAACCCAACAGAUUGAUUCACCCAGAGUUGCUGUCUCUACAUAAAGAAACCAAAACACUGAAACUCAUAAACCUCUUUUUCCAUUAAAAGAUGAUAACUGUUAUCAACUCAGUUGCUUUUUUAAGAUCAGAAGGUCUAACCUGGAUUCCAAGAUUGCUGCUCUUAUCAGAAGUUUGAAGGGCCACAACAAAAUGGGGGAAUUUUAAGGCAUCGUCUUGGUAAAAUCCUUGCCACUCAGAGGAUCACAUCAUUAUCAAUGAAGAUUGGCCAUGUUUGGAAAUUUUUUAAGCCUUAUUGAAAGGUACUCUGCUUUAAAAUAAGGCAAGAGAGGUUGGAUAUUUCAUCUUAAUGCUGAAAGAAGAAAAUGAUGCUUAAACCUACCAAGGCUGCUGGGUUUGCAAACUCAGUGCCUUUGGGGCUGGAAGGAAAUGAGAGAGGGUGUGGAUGCCACCCUGGAGUAUAUUCCAUGAAAAAUGGAUAGUUGCCAUUUGGUUCAAGCCAACUGCACUUCCAUGAAGGAAUGUGAACCCCGUAUUGAAAAUCUUGUCACUUUUCGACCAGAUAAUUAUGACGAAGCUUUAAAAUUUUAAAUAUUAAUUUUUAAUUAUAAAAAUGUUAUAGAAGGAAAAAUCCUGGUUAGGAAGAGGGGUCAAUCAAAAAAAAAAAAAAAAAACCUAUAAGUCACAUGUAGGCAGGCAGUUUGUGACAGGUGGACUAGUCUUCCAGUAAGUGCCAGUCUAGUUCUAAUCUCAUACUGCUUGGUAUAAAUAUCUUAAAACACUUAGCAUUCCCUAGGAAAGUCAGCAUUAGAAAUAUUAGCCACUCUUGGAAACUGACUUGGAAAUGGUGUCUGGAGUGUUGAUGGGAAAAGUUUGAAGAAAAGACACAGUGGGACUUGACACAUGUGAGAAAGAAACCCAACGCCUCCAUUAGCUUCUGCUGGGACUGACAAAAUUAAAUGCUAGCAUUGUUCUUUUCAUACCUACAACUGAAAUGCCAGCAUGGGCUGAGUUAAAAGGCUGUGUGGAAAACUGAUCAUUCAUUAAAGUAUGAUUUCUGGAUCCUGCUACUAGGAAAAUACACAUCUCUCUGAAAAAAAAAUUCAAGAAAAGCAACAACAAAGAAAAUAAAAAUCACAAAGCACGCCAACAACCAGGAUUAAAUAGGACUGUGGAGAAGAAGAAAUGUUUUCUUUGGAAAUGAUGUGCCUGGGUAUCCGUUUACCCAGGCUGGGUCGAUUAAAAUCAAAGUGAAAUUUAACUGGCCAUCGUCAAGCAUCACUUGAAAAAGUCAGUCAGUGUGACCAGUUCAUUUGGAAAAAGAGCUGUGCUCCUUUUCCUUUGUCACUUGAGAUCCAAACGAAAUAAAUAUCUGACUUAUCUCAACAUUUGUUAAAAAAAUACAAAAGAGCUAUCGCUUUUAUAUAACCUUAAAAACUCUACCCAAACGAGUAUGUUCAGGUUCAUAGAAACAUAUACACAUGUAUAUUUUUAAAAUUCCAGACGUUAAGACACAAGCCCAUGGGGUGUGUGGCCAUCAUAGGCUAAUCCUUUGACUCCUCAGCAGGCAGGACCGCUUCGAGAUAAGUCUCUGACCCACACUUAACAGCUAUCAGCUUUUAACACCAUUCCCAUGAGGAAAUCUUUGCCUUUUGUUCAAAACGUUUGAACAAAACUCACCUCUGCACUAACAGAGCUAUGUCAACAGGACACGUGGCGCAAAAGGACUAAGAGAAAGUGGGUCUUAUACAGUCUCUCAGGCUGUCAGUCAUCUAGACACAAGUGAGUCGGCAUCCACGGUGUUCAGAAGGUAGAGUUCAGGCUGAACUGUCAAUCCCAGGUGGUACUAAGGAUAAAAAGACAAAAGGGUUAGACUGAUUUGCAAGGGUUUUAAUACUGACCUGGUACUGAUUAAGUACCUAUAAUCAGCCUACCAACGUAGGUCUCUUUUCAGGACGGUGCUAUUGAUUGUUAUUUCAGAAAGAAACGGCUUACAGAUACAUGAGUGGUUUCUUGGACAUAAAAGAACAGCCAGGAGCCGAAAGAGUUAAGGACUGAGAUAGCACCAAACGGCGUCAGCAAAAUUUGCACUUCGACUCUUCUCGUGACACGCUCGGCCUCAGGAUGGGUGCCUCUAGUCAGGAUAUUAAGAGCAGAGGUGCAGUGCGAGCUUUUGUGCUUCGAUACCAAUCAAAUUUCAAAUGUGUUAGAAAUCAGAUUUCAAAAGGUCUAAAUCCUGAGCCCUACUGUCUGGGCCCCAUUAUCCUUUGGCACCUGAGCAGAGAAAAGCCUUUCAUUAAAAAUAAAAUAGAGGAGUUCCCGCUGUGGCCCAGUGGGAUUGGUGGCGUCUCUGCAGAUCCCACCCUACCAUUAUUACUCAUUCCCUUGGCACCAACGUCUCUAUGUGGCCUUUCAAUUGCUUCGUCUGUAUAGAGACUGAUCCUCUUGUAAGAAUUAAAUGAGACCAUGUGAGUGUUCAGAAUACAGCCUCUAAAUUCAUAGAAAAUAUUUCUAUUAUGGUGGGAAAAGCACUGAAGUUGGGGUCAAGCUCCAACUCUGUCACUUCCUGUGACCUUGAGCAAAUCAUGUGUCCUUUAGGAGCCAUAUCCAACCAUGCGAAAUGGGAAUAUAUGCUACAUUUGAAAAUGCCAAGGACACUGAUCUCGUGUAAGUCUUCAAUAAAUAUAAUUUUGUCAACACAUUAUAAAUUGCCCUGUAUACUGCACAGGCUUGUGAUGACUGUGUAAAGAUGAGACCAAAUGGAGCCCAAGAUAGAACUCUUCUCAACUACUGGGCUGGGAAGUUACUGAGUCACAUGGGCCCUGGGGCAAAGAAACAGCUCUUCAGACUUCAGCUUGCUGACUCACUUUAGGGUCUUACAUCUCCGGUUUUAACAACCAACAGCAAUGGUCAGAUACACUGAUAAUCCAGUGCAGCCUUCCUUCAAGUAAGCUAAGGUGGUGGGCUUCCUCAUUAUGUGGCAUGCAAGGGUUGCAUUUUGAGUGCUGUGACCCCCAGCUUGCAGCACUUAGGUAACUUAGAGAGAACACCUUCAGUGGAGAAGUCUGUCAUGUUGCUCUGAGACUAUGAGGAAUGGGGCUAAAUGGCACAGGAGUUGGCUAAAGAGGUAAGCAAAUGAGUAAACAGUUCUCAGUUAUUGCCAGGGUAGGAUUGGAGAGAGCCCUGCCCAUUUUCCACAUCUACCAAAAGCAUCCAAGGUUUUUUUUGGCCACCCUGCAGCAUAUACGAGUUCCCAGGCCAGGGGUCAGAUCCCAGCUGCAGCUGUGACCUAUGCCACAGCCCUUCUGAUACCUGCCACUGCAGAUCCUGUUGCGCCAUGGCAGGCACUCCACAAUUGGGUACUUUGAAAAAGGUUAGCACAGGCCAAAAAAAAUUAUCCUACCAGGUGGCAACUUCUCAUCUGAAACAUAUUCUAGCAUUAAUAAGAGCAUCAUGAGUANUUUUUUUUGCUUUUUAGGGCUGCACUCACAGCAUAUGGAGGUUCCCAGGCUAGGGGCUGAAUCGGAGCUGUAGCCCCUGGCCUAUGCCACAGCCACAGCAAUGCCAAAUCUGAGCUGUGUCUUCAACCUACACCACAGCUCACAGCAACACAGGAUCCUUAACCCACUGAGCAAAGCCAGGGAUCGCACCCACAACCUUAUGGUUCCUAGUCGGAUUUGUUUCUGCUGCACCACGACGGGAACUCCAAGAGUAUCAGAUACUUUGAUGUGUUGAUGUUCCCAGAGCUAUUAAACACCAGAGCUUGUUGUCUUAACUACCCACGAAGUGUAUACUAUAUACACUGUAUAGGACUGUUGAAAGAUAAUGUGGGCUCUGAAGGUAAGCUAGUGAAGUUUACAUGGCAACUGCCCAAUUACUAGUGGGAUGUGUUAUUUUACCUUUGUGGCCUUCAGUUGCCUUAUCUACAUACAGGCUGAUCCUCUUGUUAUAAGCAUUACAUGCGAUCAGAAGAGUGCCCAGACAGGACUAGCACAUAGUAUUACAUGUUAGCCGUUUGUAACAUUCAAAAGCUAAGGUGCCGAGAGAACCUGAUUCAUUGGUCCUUUCCAAAAAAGGAACGGAAAACACACUGGAGAGCAGAGCUGAAGGAAAUAUCUCAAGUGAGGAUCUUCAAAUUGUUAUGCAUCCUAUUUUAGUUCUGAAAUGAAACCCAAAUUAGGAAGGCAGAGCUAAAGAAAGAAGGACCACACGCAGCACAAAACUCCCAGAUAGCGUCUGUGGGGUUACUUACAGUAUUCAGCUCCUGUAAGACAGAGAGGGGAAGCUUGCAACAGAGAAAGGGAAAAUGAAGGUCUAGUUCUACACCCUUGGAACAAAUUAAGUGUGACCUGUAUUUCCCUGUCACGUGUUUGGUGACAAGGCUGGUAGUUUACUGUGCCUGGGUUUGUCUUUAUUAAAUGGUGCCAAUAUUUCCAUUUAUAUCAGGUCUGCCAAAAUGCUUUCCCUUGUAAGCGAAACAAUUUUGGUUUCUCUUUUCAACUACUCAUACUUUUUAUUGGCAGUAUAUACAGAAUAUAAAAGCCUACCUCAAUGGGGAAACAAGACAACAGAUACAAAAGUGUUCAGCUUAGAGCAGAGAAAGGCGGGAUAACAAUUUUUUUCCAACUUUACAUAUGGUCAUGAUGUAACCUUUAGCAAUGGCAAAACUGACUAAAUGGGUAAUAGAAACUAGCGUUUGGUGUCUGCAGUUCAUCGAGUCUUCUGGGGACUGAACUUAUGUUGAGCCUCGAAAAACAUGGAUUUGAACUGUGUGGGUCCGCGCACGCAGAUUUUUUUCAACGGCAAAUAAUACCACGGUGCUAUAUGAUCUGAGGCUAGCUGGAUCGGAGGAUGUGGAGCCACAGACUCAGAGGAAACCAGACAUGAAGGGCCAACUACAAAUUAUAUGCAGAUUUUUUUAUUGCAUGGAGGGUUGGCACCCUAACCCUUGCUGUCCAGGGGGCAACUAUAUUUCUUUCUCCCCUCCAAAGAGAAAAUCACUAAUAACCCCAUUAAUUCCUAUUUUCAAGGUUAAAAAAAAAAAAAAUACCCAGGAAACCAAAUUGGAAAAAGAAGAAAAUUUUUUAAUUACAAACCAAGUUUACAUAUUGUUAAAUGGUCACUACAAGCUCGGUGGAACCACCUCUAAAACCACUAGCAGGACCUCACAGGAGACAAGCUGCAGCGCUCCCUAUCCCCAUCAAUUCCCGGUACUCUGCAGCAGCACAAUUACCUCACGCCACAUUUAUGGAGAGCAAGGACCAAUUCAUACAAAGUACCAUUGUAUAUCCUUAAACAUUUCACACAAACAUACUGCACAUGCUGGCACUGGAAGACUUCAGUUCUAAACAUUGUUUAUUGCAUAUAAUGUAGUGGCUGGGAGUUCUCUUGUGGCCCAGAAAGUUAAGGAUCCAGCGUUGUCACUGCUGCGGCUUGGGUUGCAGCCGUGGCACAGGUUUGAUCCCUGGCCCGGGGAGUUUCCACAUGCCAUGGGAGUGGCCAAAAAAAAAAAAAAAAAAUCCAAAAAAUGGUACUGGUUGAAUAGAGUACACUUUCUAUCUGAGAAGAUCAAAUGGAGUACAGUGUGGGAAUGUUUUUAACACUGUAAAAACUGCACACAUAGUGAUACAAAAUGCCAUUGAACUGGAAGAAAUUUUCCAUCACUG
rnacentral:lncRNA from 1 species